AUGAACGCUGGCGGCGUGCCUAAUACAUGCAAGUCGAGCGAACAGACGAGGAGCUUGCUCCUCUGACGUUAGCGGCGGACGGGUGAGUAACACGUGGAUAACCUACCUAUAAGACUGGGAUAACUUCGGGAAACCGGAGCUAAUACCGGAUAAUAUAUUGAACCGCAUGGUUCAAUAGUGAAAGACGGUUUUGCUGUCACUUAUAGAUGGAUCCGCGCCGCAUUAGCUAGUUGGUAAGGUAACGGCUUACCAAGGCAACGAUGCGUAGCCGACCUGAGAGGGUGAUCGGCCACACUGGAACUGAGACACGGUCCAGACUCCUACGGGAGGCAGCAGUAGGGAAUCUUCCGCAAUGGGCGAAAGCUUGACGGAGCAACGCCGCGUGAGUGAUGAAGGUCUUCGGAUCGUAAAACUCUGUUAUUAGGGAAGAACAAAUGUGUAAGUAACUAUGCAUGUCUUGACGGUACCUAAUCAGAAAGCCACGGCUAACUACGUG
rnacentral:rRNA from 1 species